CCUUUGAACAUUGGUAGAGGCAACAGAAGAGGAAAAGUGCUUAAAGCAGUUAAGAACAAGGUGAUGGAAAGGCUGUGAGCUCAGUCCUUGGUGUCCAGUCUCCUCAACAGACCUUGGAUCACACUUCACCUUCCAGGCUGGAUGCUCUUGGUGCACGAGGAUUUCCUGAAGGUUGGACUGUAAUUUGUGAAGAUACUGGAUGACAGGUCUUUGUCUGCCUGGCUGUUAAAAAGAAGAAGUUGACAUUCUAGAGGUAAUAAAGCAAGAAAGAUCCUCUCUUUCAUUGUUUUGAAUGCCUUACUUUUUUUUCCUUAAAUAUAUUUAACAGUUUCUCUCUCUCCUGGAAUAAAAAUUGUAAAUUC